GAUGAACGCUGGCGGCGUGCUUAACACAUGCAAGUCGAACGGAAAGGCUCCUGCUUGCAGGGGUACUCGAGUGGCGAACGGGUGAGUAACACGUGGGUGAUCUGCCCUGCACUUCGUGAUAAGCCUGGGAAACUGGGUCUAAUACCGGAUAGGACGAUGGUUUGGAUGCCAUUGUGGAAAGUUUUUCGGUGUGGGAUGAGCUCGCGGCCUAUCAGCUUGUUGGUGGGGUAAUGGCCUACCAAGGCGUCGACGGGUAGCCGGCCUGAGAGGGUGUACGGCCACAUUGGGACUGAGAUACGGCCCAGACUCCUACGGGAGGCAGCAGUGGGGAAUAUUGCACAAUGGGCGCAAGCCUGAUGCAGCGACGCCGCGUGGGGGAUGACGGCCUUCGGGUUGUAAACUCCUUUCGCUAGGGACGAAGCGCAAGUGACGGUACCUGGAGAAGAAGCACCGGCUAACUACGUG
rnacentral:rRNA from 1 species